AGAGUUUGAUCAUGGCUCAGGAUGAACGCUAGCUACAGGCUUAACACAUGCAAGUCGAGGGGCAGCAUUUUAGUUUGCUUGCAAACUGAAGAUGGCGACCGGCGCACGGGUGAGUAACACGUAUCCAACCUGCCGAUAACUCCGGAAUAGCCUUUCGAAAGAAAGAUUAAUACCGGAUGGCAUACGAAUAUCGCAUGAUAUUUUUAUUUAAAGAAUUUCGGUUAUCGAUGGGGAUGCGUUCCAUUAGUUUGUUGGCGGGGUAACGGCCCACCAAGACAACGAUGGAUAGGGGUUCUGAGAGGAAGGUCCCCCACCAUUGGAACUGAGACACGGUCCAAACUCCUACGGGAGGCAGCA
rnacentral:rRNA from 1 species